GACGAACGCUGGCGGCGUGCUUAACACAUGCAAGUCGAGCGGAGCGGCGAACGGGUGAGUAACGCGUGAGUAACUGCCCCCCUCUCUGGGAUAACAGUUGGAAACGGCUGCUAAUACCGGAUAGUGGGGGAUGACUCGCGCCCAAUCAGCUUGUUGGUGGGGUAGUGGCCUACCAAGGUGACGACGGGUAGCCAGCCUGAGAGGGCGACCGGCCACGUUGUGCUGAGAUACUGGCCAAACUAUGACAGGAGCCAGCAGUGUGGAUUAUUGCACAAUGGGGGAAUCCCUGAUCCACGCCCCCGCGUGCGGGAUCACGGCCUUCGGGUUGUAAACCGCUUUCAGCCAUGCCGCGGUAGUGGCAGAAGAAACACCGGCUAACUACGUGCCAGCCGCCGCGGUAAUUC
rnacentral:rRNA from 1 species